AGCAGUAAAGUCUAGAAAGAGAGUUCAAAACCCUCCAGCCCCUAGGAAAACAGAGGUCUACCAGGUUAGCUUUUUGAGCGGGAUGUAUUCAAUGUGCCACACCCCUGUGCAAAAGGUUGGAACCUUUUGGCUAAGGUAACACCACUCAUGUUCUGAAGUAUAUAUAUUUAUAUUCAGGGUGCUGUGAAUAACCCCAGUUUUUGCCUUCCUUUGAAAAUUGGCUGUGCUGUUAUUCAUCUUGGAUGUCAAGAUUUUCUUCUACUGGCUAGGUCGUCCUGGUUUAAUCUAAUGUUUCAUUUCCUCCCAACAAAAUAAGAUAUUUGCAUCAAAUUCAGCAUUUCAAUAACAGUAGUGAAAAGUCCCUCUUUGUAAAAAGAUACAGCAUUACUUCCUGCCAUGAGUUCAUCUGCAUCAUCUCCAUUUAUUUCUCCUGGGUGAUGAGAAGACCUUUUGCAUUUGACCAAAAAGCGCUAGUAAAUAAGGAGUUAAAAUGAAGGCAGGCUCACUGGUUUGCUGAGAUCUGUCAGAGUCUGACUGGCUGGCUACAUAUCUGUCUCUGGAACAAUAGGUACCUGUAUUCUGCACGGACUGCUGGGCAGCACUGACACUCUGGAGAAGGUCUGCCUCUGUCUGCGCUUUCCUGGUUCUAUGCAGGCAGAUGAGUGCCACAGCUGUAACUGAGGCACAGAAUGAUAAACACAGUGAAGCCAAUUUCCAGGAUGGCGAGAGGGGGCACCGGAGGUGACAACAAUGACAAGGACCCAAGGACCGCCCUUUGGACAAGUUUUAGCCAGCGCUGAGUAUCUUCAGGAAAAACGAGGUCCAUAAGAAGUGGCAUCCUCCUCCAAUGGGAAGGUAAAAAAUUAAACAUUUUUUAAAGUGCAAUUUUCAAGCCAUUCCAUGUACUUCUUGCCAGUAGCAUUAGAAAGCCGCUUUCUAAAUAAAACUAAGAUUUGCGCCAUUCUUUCUAGCCAUAAGAGGUUUAAAGAAGAGAGUAUUAGGGAAUUUUAUCGUUAGUCAUUUUCUAAGGAUUGUCUAGCUUUUGUUAGCAAAAUGCAAUCAGGUGCUUCGUAUGUUUCCUGUCAGCCUUGAAAAACAGCAGGUUUUUGUUUUUUAGAGGACAUUAUCCUUUGGGGGAUCAAUAAAAACGAUCUUUAUUUUAUGUAGGUUUUAUUCCUAGGACUGGUAAAUAAGCACAGGGAUUGGGUGAUGUCGAAGGUCUUCUGUCAGCCUGAAAAUUCCUCAAAGAGCACUAGUUUUCAGAAAGAAGGCAUAAGGACGCCUUUAUUAGUGUUAAUUGAGCUUCUUCAACUGUCCAGCUCUUUUUCGUUGAGCAGCAGUUAAAAGUUCUGUGCUCUGUGGGACAGGUAACCAUUGUGGCUGGAAGUCAUUUUCAAAAACUGGAUUUUUGGAGGUAUUUUUUUUCUUUUUUUUAGUGCUUUAUGAAGACUUGGGUUUUGCAGAGCCCAAUUGGGGCUCCUUAACUUGGGUUUCUCACUUCAGGUCUUCUUGAAGGUAAUACUUUAUAUGAGUGGCUAAUUUCACGAGAAAUGUUUAAUUCUAGGUAUCCGAAGGCAAAUAUUUCCCAGUAUGUGGUAUGUAUCUCUGUGUGUAUGUGAACAUAUUUUAAUAUAAAAUGUCUUAUAAAUUUUACAUUGUGCUUUGCUUUGCUGUUAUUUCAAAGGAUUUAAGUGAAUGUUGGAUAGCGCUCAAUUUCCUGAAAUGAUUAAAUUCCAUCUCUGAAGAAUCUGGGGAAAAGGCCUAUAAUGACAUUUUGAUGACUUUCAUUUUAAGGAAUAAUAGAAAUUGAGUAAAAUAUUUUAAUAGCUAUUCUCUAAUAUCUCAUUCCAAAUACAAUGUUUUUAUUGCUCAUUCUAGCUUACAAUUUUCUGGUGAUAAUAAUGUUGGCUGGUAAUUGUUUCUUAUGUAGAAAUCAUUCUAUCCUUAUGUAAAAGUUAUUUCAGAAAAGUCUUCAUGCAUUUAUCUCAGCUGAAGCAACCGCAUUGAACUCUUGAGAUAAAACAGUGAGUAUUUCCAGAUUCCUCCUAUUUUAAUUUGGUACUUCCUUACAAGAAUUAGGUGUAUCUUAAAGGGAGGAAUAUGACAAAUGAUAGUUUGUGGUAUAAAGAGGGAAAACAAUGAGACAAGUCAGGAGAAGGCUGAGAAGACAGAAUAAAUAUUAUGCGCUAUCACAAAAUUGACUUGGCAUCUCCCAGAUGUCAGGUACUUUUAAAUUUUAAAAACAGACUAAUAUCAAAUAUAUGUAUGUAAAUAUGCAGUCAUUAUAUCUGUCUAUAUUGAACAGGUCAAUGCAUGUAUGUAAACUUACUGUAAUUCCAGCUAAUGUUACCAGGAACACCUUAGCACCUCAAUUCUUUCAGGAGAUGUAGACACAAGUAAAGUUAAUCAUGUAGCUUUUAAAGAAUCAAAUCUUUUGGGAACUGGAGUUGUGACAUCUUAGAUCAAUUUUCACGUAAGUCAGAAUAAAAAUCUUAAAUCGGUUUUUCUGUGCAAGUUACACAAAGCCAUUAGCCUCCAAACUGCGUUGUUCUAAACACUAAUUAGAAAAAUUUGUAUGCAAUUUAACUUGAUUGUAGUGAAUAUUUACAGUCAGAAUAUUACAUUAUUGCCGAGUUAACACUCCAUCCAUGCAAUUUUUUAUAGAAGCAAAAUGAAGCUCUACUAUCUGCUUAUUCUCCUCUCUUAAUAUGUUUACUAGAUUUCCCCAAGUUUGCUUUCUUUUUGCACUUCAUACUGCCUUCCAGAUACCAGUGUUGCGGAGAAAUUAGUUACUCUUAGUUUCUUUCUGCCUACUAUAAUUCAGGGUUUUGUCUUUUUUGGUAUGCCAUUAUUCUUAUCUGUCAUCUAGACAAUUAUAUUGACUUUGAAGCUAUUUGUGUGACCUAUUCGUCUGUGUUUGGGCGGGAGAAGCUUGUUUCAUUAGAAAUUGUGUAUCGAGUGCUGAAAGAUUUGAGUUGCCUUUGGGAUGUUGUGCAAGGGCCUCAUAUUGGGAUCUAGAGUUUCCCAGUGGUAGCAAGUUACUUGCAUAAUUCAAUAAAAUCUUUCCUUCAAGCUACCUUACCUUAUUUUCCACCAAGUGGCAAGUCUCAGAUUUUCACUGAGCAUCAUCUAGGAAACUUAGUAUGAGAAAAACUGGCAGGGGUGGGACCCUCUUGGAUAGAGUGAAGGUGUCACUCUAGGUUACUCUUCUGAGAUGUUGGCAAGGAUACAUUGUAAAGUUUUAUCUACUGGUAUGUUGUGUUUAAUCACCUCUGUGAUCCAACAGCAGAUUUUAAUUUGCAUUACCAUCAGUCAGAUUCUUUUGUUUAAAGAGUACCAGAAUGAUUUAAGAAAAUACAAGCUAUGCUAAAAAUCUUAAUUACACACUCUCUCACUCACUAAUAAUUAAUCGAAGCGUUAAAAAAUUUGUUCAGAUUUUAAAAUGUGAAAAUUGUAGCUUGCUUAAUGGUAUUUAUAAUUUUUUUUUCAUCAGGAGAUGGCUCAUAUAGAAUCAUAAUCCCUGAGAUUCUCUAAAGUUGGUAGACUUUAUGAUCCUACACCCUAUAGUGAACAGAACUGUUUUACAUUUUUAAUAACAUCUCUGAGCCAUAAUUUAUGUUCUUAAUGUUGCCUGGCAUUAUUUAAGCACAACGUACUUGUGAUCUAUAAAUCUUUGAAAUUCCUGUAUUUUUCUGACGAUUGAAUUCACAGUUCAACUGCAGACUGAAAUAUACCAUAAGGCUAAGAAUUUCCUUAGAGAAAGAAAGACAAGGUAGCAAGCACACCAUGGUCAGGAACAUAUGGUGUACAGUUAAUUAUCAAAAUCCCAAGGGUUUUAACAUAGUUUACUGCAGGCAUCUUCAACAAUACUGGAUUUUCAGAAUAUGUUUGAAGACAAAUUUGAUUUGCUAGAAAUUUGAAACCGGGAAACCAAAUAAAUUAUUUUUAAAAUGUUCUCUCAUAAGGAUUUAGAAAAUAUUCAUUCAUUCAUUCCAUAAACAUUUAUUCAGUGCCUGCCUUGUGCCAGACACUAUUCUUGUGGCUCUUAAUUUAAUAUUCACCAUUAAUUCAACAGUCAUUAUUUGCCUGGUUUUGCAGAUUAUAGGAGUCUCGCCAGUUAGUCAUACCCUAUCAGCUAAUCACAUCACAAUCCAUAUCAUUUUGGAACUUGUUCUUCAAUGAUCUGUUCUUUAAAUGGCUUAAAAUAUAUUCUCUGCAUAUAUACCAAUUUAGAAGAAUAUAUUGGCAAAGCAGUCAGAAUAUGUUUUAAGAAGUUAUCUUGUCGAUGCGUAUUUAGAAGUGUCCAAAUGCAUCCUUCCCCCCUCAGUAGCUAGGCCCAUGAUGCAGCAAAUACUAAAUGGGUUUGUUACAUUUGCUUCCUUCUAAUGCUGCUCAUACUAUGUCCAGGGACCUCUAAUUCUAAUUGUUAAUGGUUAACAUUUAUUUUCUAUAUGCCAGUCAAGGUACUAAAUCCUUUACUUUUGUAUUCUUGUUUAAUCCUUCAAUUACAUUAUGAGAAAGGUAGUGUCACUAUCCUUGCUUGUAGAAGAGGAAACUGAGGUUUUGCGAAGUUAACUCCCUCGAGGUCACAGAGCUUGCAAGCAGCUGAGAUGACUUAAAAUCCAACCGUUUCAGAUUCUAUUCAUCCUUCCAGUCAUUCAGCCGAUGUUAUCGAGCUUUGAUGAUGUCCUAGGCCUGCUCAACAUGUUUAGAAUAAAGCAGUGGCUAGAACAGGCAAGCCUCUGCCCUUAGAAUAGGAGCACGUAGUCACUUGAUACAUUCAUUAUGUUAUUUCCCUUUGCAUCUAUGGAUUCCCCAGAACCAAUAGCAUAAAACAUUUGAAUUUCAAACCUUCUUUAGACCUCUCACUAUUUGGCUUCAGUCUUUCUUUCCAACUGCAUUAUUUACAGAUUUCAAAAGAGGAAUUUGCUAACCCGGAAGACCGGUCUGCUCCUUGCCUCCGCGAAGUUUACCUUGUGUUUCCUCCCACCAUUGCUGCCCCGAAACACUUUUGCCACUGCUUUCCCAACACUUCCCAUCCUUCUGCGUCUGGGUCAAAGCCCACGGUGCCAACGAAGUGCGUCUUAGAAACGAAAUCCUAAAGUUGUUUCAUCUGCAUUGAUCAUUUGACACAUGGCAUUUGCAACAACUAAAGAGAUGUGAGGCUAGGUAACAUUUCACGUGUUUCCUAUGUCCUGGCUGCUUUAGUACUUGUACAUGUGCCCAGCUGACGUGUUAGCAAAGAGUUCAGGGAACUAGCAGUAAAAUAAGAGAAGAAAAUAGAAGAGGAAAAGGACUGGAAAGCUUGGAAACAAGAGCCCCCCAGUCUAGCACAGUGCCUGGUAUAGAAUAUGCAGUUAAUGUACAUUUGAGGCUGGGAAGGGGAGAAGAGCAGCACAAAGGAAGGAGAGACUGACAAUAGGAGGAAAGUUAGCAGGGAAAGAGAAAAUAAUAUUCCUAAAUUGAUAGCCCCAGGCCUUGAAAGAUCUUUAAAUACUUAAUUGGUGUCAGAGAGCCCAUUAAGGAAUGCAUAGAUAUGCAAAAUCAUGAAAGACACACACUUGCAUGUAUGUUUUUGCCUUUUCCAGGAAUAAACUGUCCCUCUUAUCAACAUUAAUACUUUAGAUAUGGAAUGAACUUUCUGGUGUUUCUAAGAGCAAGGGCAAUUGUGUUAUGUUUGUGUAUGCUUAUCAUCACUAUUCAGGCCCACGGUACAGGGGACUCUAAGUUGGUUGUGUUGUUUUAUGCUGUGUAUGAUUAUUUCUCUAUCCCUUGGGACAUUAUUUAGUAUCACAGAAAUUGCUGGCCACCUUCCCCCCCCCCCAAGAGACUUCCUCUUAACCACAUAAAGUUUUAUUGGUUAAUACUUUAUGUCAGAUUUUUUUCUCAAUAAAAGCUAAGUUCAGUAUUCAAAAUCCUAAUGCAAUGUCCCCUCUACCAACAAGCAACUCUUGUGAUUAAUUUUAUUUAUGUUUUUCCUCCAUUGUAUUCAAAAGCAUAGCCUUGAAAUCUCUAGAAAAAUAUAUAUGUCUGUAUUUUGUGUGGGUUCUCAAAGCGAGUGCUUAAGGUAGAAAUUUUAUUUCAUAGGAAAAUCCAGGUAGAUAUUUCUUAAAGCAACUACUAUACAUGACCUUUGCUAUGGAGUUAUUUUACGGACUCACUAUAAGAGCCAUGGCUUGUAUACAUAGUUAUGACUUGUAGGGCUUACUUCAAGGAUGGAUCACUAAUACAUAAUGUAUUUGUACCGUGUAUUAAUCUCCCUGGGUAAAGUAAGGUAGAAAGGCUGCACCUUGAACCAGGAAACAUGAUAGCCUGUGUGUACCCUCUACUUUUAUGGGAGUACUCUGUUGAAGCAGCCCCAUUCUUUGGAAAUCCCUACUUGCUAGUUGAGGUAAGUGAGGAUAAAGCUUUCUCCAUGAGGCUUUGAGCUACAUCCUGCUUUUAGGAAACAAGGAAUAUUUCCACAGUCUGUAUUUGUAGUAGUAGCAGUUGAACAGCCCAUGAGAGUUCCAAAAACGAAAAUGUGCUCCAAGUGCUUAUCACAUGCCGUAUUGAUGUCAGUAAAAUGCUGAGGAUGAGCUCGUCUCCCCCUUAACCCUGACUUUCCAUGGUCCUUUCAUUUUGACACUAAUUUCAGGCAUGAACCUUGGCACUUAGCUAUAGUGUGUAAUUGUUGGUAUCUCGCUGCCACCUGGGUGCACAAUGGCGAACAAUAUUUAGCCCCUGUGAUUUGCCAUAAGAACACACCACAUGCAGUUGGAGAGGGAAAUAUUUAAUCAGCCAAUUUUCUCCAUGCAGUCAUAAUCCGUUGAGUUGGUUGAAGACUCUGUUUUCUCUGAAUUGACUGUUUGUUUUGUCACUGCAAAAAUAAAACCUUUGGCUCCCUCCCAAAUUCUUGUCAUGCAAAUUGGGGGACGUGGUCUAUCAAUUUGAAUGUCCAAACGAAAAGAAGGUAUUUUAACAAUGCAAAAUUAAAAACCCAUUUUGGUCAAAAGAUCUUUUUUUUUUAAGUUCCUUGAGUGCUCUGGUUUGUUGGCUCACUGUGGACGUAACAUGUGAAAGGCUGUGACGCAUGAAUGAUACUCUUCCAUUUUUAGGCAUGAUGAGGCUGUUGAUCUUUAAAAUAAAUUCCCUUUGGUGACAUUUACAAAAAUAGUUUCACUUUAGCAACUUUUAAUUUUAAUUUUUUAAUAAAUGACAAAAAUGGUAUAACUUCCCAGUGACGAGGAAGUCACCUAGGAAGUGGGUACUUACUUAAUGGAAACAGGAAAUACCCAUUGCUUCCCAUCAGAUGCUGUGCUUAUAAUCAGUCCAGAGAAAUAGCUUUGACUAAUAGGAAAAUGGUGUAAGAAUAGGAUUGUCUGUCUAAACAGGCAGCAUAUCAUCUUAAAGACUAAGGUCUAUUUUUUUAAUCCUGGUGCUUUCAAAGUGCUGGAAGGGUUUGAAUCCAGAACUUAGUCCUCAUUGUACUUUAAUUCUGCUAAUUCAGUGUAGUGCAAUGCGAUCCAGACUAACCUGCUUCAAGUCACUGUUACUCAUUGGAUUUCUGAUAUUUAUGAGUAUUUUAAACUUCCUUCUGUCAAUUAUCUCUUCGAUAGUAUUUAUUUUUUUGGCUGGGUAAGGAUAAUAAGAGAUGUUAGUACAUAGGACAAAGAAUUUCUCAUCUUUACCACAGAAUAUGAUAUUUUAAAGAGUUCAGAAUUUCUGUGUAGUUUGGGGGCUUUAUUGUUUUCAUUCUAAGCUGAAAUGAAGUUGGUACAGUGUGAGACCUUUCUAACUAAAAUGGUAUUGUUUUUACUUAGUAAUCAUGAUUAUUGUCAUAAAUUGGGAGAGACUUCAAAUCAUUUAUUUACUCAAUUAUUCAGUUGGCUUUUUUCCCCCUUAAUUAUCUUGUCUGACCAGUGUUGCUAAAGGCACUGAGGAUUUUACAACAGGCAAAAAUAUGAUGUUUCCCUCAUCAACUAUCAUAUAAUUGGAGAGAGAAAAAGAACUUUCAAGAAUUAAUUGGAUAAUAUAAUAAAAUUACUUAUAGCAAUCAUACUUCAGUUCUGUGAAGAGAGAAGCUAUUCCCUCACAGGUAGAAAGCAGUAUUAACAAUCAAAUGUAGCUUUUUGGCUCACAACAUUGUUUCAGAUUAUUUGUUGUGAGAACAGUAAUGAGUAUGUUCAGAAUAAAGGCUAGUUCUUGAAAAUGGAUUUUAUAAUUUUCAAUUUAUUUCAUCAGCGAAAAGAUUUUCGUUUCAAGAAGACUUAAAAAAAAUUAACCAUGUCACAGGGUUAGUUAUGAACGGUCCAAAACUUGCAAAUACUUUAUUGAAGGUUUAUAAUAAACAAUGUGUGUGUGGGUGGGUGGGGGUGGAGUUUAUUUACCAUUGCCUCAAUUGUACAUCAUGAUAGUCUUUUAAAAUUUGGACCCAAACGAAAAUUGAAAUGUUUUUUGAAAUACUUCAACUUCCUUGCUGUCUUGAGAAGACAGCCUAACAUAUUCUAGGCAAUGGAAAAUUUUUCAAAGCUGUAUUUAACAGUAUCCUUAGGUGUGUAAAGCCCUGCCCGGACUUUGUUCCCUGGCAGAAAUAUUACACCACUCACCCACAUGGCUGAAAACACUGGGCCAAGCAACACCUAACAUUAAGCAAAGAGCUUUCAGAUUUGUUCCUUAUUCGUCCUUACCACAAUUAUAAAAUUUGAGGAUUUUCAGGAAAAGCAACUUUGGAUGUAGGUACUUGCCAUUUACCAGGGCAGCCAAAGAUCAGCUAGCCAAAAAAUUGUUAAACUUUAAUUUACAAACCUUGAAGUUGUUGCCCUUAGUUAUGUUAAGACCUCCAUAUUGAAAAGCCCAGUAAUAAUCCAAUUAUUCUUACUUUUGAUCUUGUGGAGUUUAUAGACAUAGAGAAAAGAGCCUUGAGCGUUUCUGCCCUCUCUUCUGAGGGAAGGGAAGAAUUGGAGACAAAUGAGCACCCCAGUCCUAGGAGACAUCGCCUGUGGACAGUGUAUAUAGCAUUUGAUAAACCAGGAGGACAGAUGCCCUCAUAUUAAGGGACCAGGGGGAGGGUGCAGCAAAGGACUCAUUCUCCCGAGUCUCCUAUUAUGAAUGGACUUGUACUAGGUGCAUCAUAGGGAGACUCAGACAGAAGGAUACUUAAUGAUCCCCACUCAGAAAAUAGAGAGCAGCUUCCUGUCUAAAAAGUGGCAGCUCUGGGUUCUCAGUGUCUUUGAGAAGCAGGAUCCACCAUCCGUCUAAACAGAUAAGGAGAGCAAAGACACUAUGCACCUUCUCUCUGUGACUUGUGAAUGCCUUUGGUGUCCCCAAAUAAGGAAGUCCUUUCACUGCUGUCUACUCUAAGCUGUAUUUCAUUUUUGAUAGCCAUUUGCAGAAGACAUUUUCAGACUCCAUGAAAUGUAAAGAAAGUAUGUCUGAGAAAUUCUUCAGUUAUAUUUUUCCUACCUCCCCCAGCAGGUGAUUUGGAACAUGAAGUUUAUAAACUUAGAUACAUACCUCCUAUCAAUCUCUACCUUUAAAACUAUACAUUAGGGAUGCCUGGGCAGCUCAGUCGGUUGAGCGUUCAACUUCGACUCAGGUCAUGAUCUCGCAGUUGAGGAGUUCGAGCCCCUCGUCAGGCUCUGUGCUGAUGGCUUGGA